rnacentral:rRNA from 1 species
AGCGGUAAGGCCUUUCGGGGUACACGAGCGGCGAAGGGUGAGUAACACGUGGGUGAUCUGCCCUGCACUCUGGGAUAAGCUUGGGAAACUGGGUCUAAUACCGGAUAUGACCGCAUGCCGCAUGGUGUGUGGUGGAAAGAUUUAUCGGUGCAGGAUGGGCCCGCGGCCUAUCAGCUUGUUGNNGGGGUAAUGGCCUACCAAGGCGACGACGGGUAGCCGACCUGAGAGGGUGACCGGCCACACUGGGACUGAGACACGGCCCAGACUCCUACGGGAGGCAGCAGUGGGGAAUAUUGCACAAUGGGCGGAAGCCUGAUGCAGCGACGCCGCGUGAGGGAUGAAGGCCUUCGGGUUGUAAACCUCUUUCAGCAGGGACGAAGCGUGAGUGACGGUACCUGCAGAAGAAGCACCGGCUAACUACGUGCCAGCAGCCGCGGUAAUACGUAGGGUGCGAGCGUUGUCCGGAAUUACUGGGCGUAAAGAGUUCGUAGGCGGUUUGUCGCGUCGUUUGUGAAAACCCGGGGCUCAACUUCGGGCUUGCAGGCGAUACGGGCAGACUUGAGUGUUUCAGGGGAGACUGGAAUUCCUGGUGUAGCGGUGAAAUGCGCAGAUAUCAGGAGGAACACCGGUGGCGAAGGCGGGUCUCUGGGAAACAACUGACGCUGAGGAACGAAAGCGUGGGUAGCAAACAGGAUUAGAUACCCUGGUAGUCCACGCCGUAAACGGUGGGCGC